GUCCUCCUUAAAGGGGCCGCGUGCUGACCCGAGCGCUGCCUGAGCAGAGGGGCUCCUAGGAGGUGGUCCUAUGGCCCGCGCCUGACCCACGGAAGUGGAAGGCGGUGUCCCGGGACAUUUAAUUAACUCUCACACAGACCGCGUGGGCCCCCACCCAAGAAAUCAAAGAAGAGGUCAUUUGAAUGGACAGAAGGUGGCCGUGGACAAGCCAGGAAGAGAGCGCUUUCACCAGAAACCAGACCCUGUGGGAACUUGAUCUCAGACUGUAGGUGUCCAGAACUGCAAGAAAUAAAUUUCUGUUGUUUAAGACA